GCGCACAUUUCUUUGGCCUACUUUCUUUUACAUAUGUGAGCGGUGUUAUUUGUUAUGUGCUAUGCAAAU
rnacentral:snoRNA from 1 species